rnacentral:rRNA from 1 species
UACGUAGGGGGCGAGCGUUGUCCGGAAUUAUUGGGCGUAAAGGGUGCGUAGGCGGCCAAAUAAGUCAGAUGUGAAAUACCGGGGCUUAACUCCGGGGCUGCAUUUGAAACUAUAUGGCUGGAGUGCAGGAGAGGGAAGCGGAAUUCCUAGUGUAGCGGUGAAAUGCACAGAUAUUAGGAGGAACACCAGUGGCGAAGGCGGCUUUCUGGACUGUAACUGACGCUGAGGCACGAAAGCGUGGGGAGCAAACAGG